UACGUAGGGGGCAAGCGUUGUCCGGAAUCAUUGGGCGUAAAGCGCGUGUAGGCGGCUCGGCAAGUCGGGUGUGAAAGCCCUGGGCUUAACCUAGGAAGUGCACUCGAAACUGCCAAGCUUGAGUUCUGGAGAGGAAGGCGGAAUUCUCGGUGUAGAGGUGAAAUUCGUAGAUAUCGAGAGGAACACCGGUGGCGAAGGCGGCCUUCUGGACAGCAACUGACGCUGAGACGCGAAAGCGUGGGGAGCAAACAGG
rnacentral:rRNA from 1 species